AUUGAACGCUGGCGGCAUGCCUUACACAUGCAAGUCGAACGGUAACGCGGGGCAACCUGGCGACGAGUGGCGAACGGGUGAGUAAUGUAUCGGAGCGCGCCCAGUAGUGGGGGAUAGCCCGGCGAAAGCCGGAUUAAUACCGCAUACGACCUACGGGUGAAAGGGGGGGAUCGCAAGACCUCUCGCUAUUGGAGCGGCCGAUAUCAGAUUAGGUAGUUGGUGGGGUAAAGGCCCACCAAGCCGACGAUCUGUAGCUGGUCUGAGAGGACGACCAGCCACACUGGGACUGAGACACGGCCCAGACUCCUACGGGAGGCAGCAGUGGGGAAUUUUGGACAAUGGGCGCAAGCCUGAUCCAGCCAUGCCGCGUGCGGGAAGAAGGCCUUCGGGUUGUAAACCGCUUUUGUCAGGGAAGAAAUCCCUUGGGUUAAUACCUCGGGGGGAUGACGGUACCUGAAGAAUAAGCACCGGCUAACUACGUGCCAGCCGCCGCGGUAA
rnacentral:rRNA from 1 species